rnacentral:rRNA from 1 species
UACGUAGGGUCCGAGCGUUGUCCGGAAUUAUUGGGCGUAAAGAGCUCGUAGGCGGUUGAGUAAGUCGGGUGUGAAAACUCUGGGCUUAACCCAGAGCCGCCACCCGAUACUGCUCUGACUUGAGUUCGGUAGGGGAGCAGGGAAUUCCUAGUGUAGCGGUGAAAUGCGCAGAUAUUAGGAGGAACACCGGUGGCGAAGGCGCUGCUCUGGGCCGAUACUGACGCUGAGGAGCGAAAGCGUGGGUAGCAAACAGG